AUGGCGCCGCGAGUCUCCCACCUCACCACCACCGCUGCUCGCCGUCCGCCCCUCCCUCCGUCCCUCCUUCCGUCCAUGGCGGCGGCGACCUCCGUCGUCAACAGGACCCAGCGCGGCGGCGGCGGGCAACAACGACGGCGACGUCGGCCUCCAAGACCCCCAUCCCGCCUCCCGCUCAAGAACAUAUCUCAGGCUACAUACGACCGUUGUAUAUUGGAGAGCUCAAGCACUAUACCUGUCCCGCUCACAACAUUUCUCUUCUCAACUCAGGCAUCCAAAAGCUUCAACAUCUCACAAAAAUCUCAAAACUCCGGACUAGAGCCUACCUACAGCCCCGCCCACGCAUCCCUUCGGCGCCGGCCGCCAUAA
rnacentral:rRNA from 1 species